rnacentral:rRNA from 1 species
CCUACGGGAGGCUGCAGUGGGGGAUAUUGGACAAUGGGGGAAACCCUGAUCCAGCGACGCCGCGUGAGUGAAGAAGUAUUUCGGUAUGUAAAGCUCUAUCAGCAGGGAAGAAAGAAAUGACGGUACCUGAGUAAGAAGCCCCGGCUAACUACGUGCCAGCAGCCGCGGUAAUACGUAGGGGGCAAGCGUUAUCCGGAAUUACUGGGUGUAAAGGGAGCGUAGACGGUAAUGCAAGUCUGGAGUGAAAGGAGGGGGCGCAACCCCCGGACUGCUCUGGAAACUGUGUAACUGGAGUGCAGGAGAGGCAGGCGGAAUUCCUAGUGUAGCGGUGAAAUGCGUAGAUAUUAGGAGGAACACCAGUGGCGAAGGCGGCCUGCUGGACUGUAACUGACGUUGAGGCUCGAAAGCGUGGGGAGCAAACAGGAUUAGAUACCCUUGUAGUC